GCUAAUACCGCAUAACAACUUGGACCGCAUGGUCCGAGCUUGAAAGAUGGCUUCGGCUAUCACUUUUGGAUGGUCCCGCGGCGUAUUAGCUAGAUGGUGGGGUAACGGCUCACCAUGGCAAUGAUACGUAGCCGACCUGAGAGGGUAAUCGGCCACAUUGGGACUGAGACACGGCCCAAACUCCUACGGGAGGCAGCAGUAGGGAAUCUUCCACAAUGGACGAAAGUCUGAUGGAGCAACGCCGCGUGAGUGAAGAAGGGUUUCGGCUCGUAAAACUCUGUUGUUAAAGAAGAACAUAUCUGAGAGUAACUGUUCAGGUAUUGACGGUAUUUAACCAGAAAGCCACGGCUAACUACGUGCCAGCAGCCGCGGUAAUACGUAGGUGGCAAGCGUUGUCCGGAUUUAUUGGGCGUAAAGCGAGCGCAGGCGGUUUUUUAAGUCUGAUGUGAAAGCCUUCGGCUCAACCGAAGAAGUGCAUCGGAAACUGGGAAACUUGAGUGCAGAAGAGGACAGUGGAACUCCAUGUGUAGCGGUGAAAUGCGUAGAUAUAUGGAAGAACACCAGUGGCGAAGGCGGCUGUCUGGUCUGUAACUGACGCUGAGGCUCGAAAGUAUGGGUAGCAAACAGGAUUAGAUACCC
rnacentral:rRNA from 1 species